CUUUACUGGAAAACAGUGAAACAGAAGGUACAAAAUAACACUGGGAAACAACUAGGACUCGAAAACGUACUCAGGAGAUAAGCGCACACGGCAAACGAAUCAAGCUUCCUCAAAGGAGGCUAGAAAUCAACACAUCUGAAGAAAUAUAAAUGAAAAUGAAAGAUACCAUCUCUUCUAGAAAGAGCCCAGAUGUUACAUCAUCCCGACAACCCUCAGGGGAGCCCAAAGACAUCAGGGUCUCAUUUACAAUGGUUCCCUGAGGACACCAAUACUACAAAUUGGGAG